CAUUGAUUGAGCUAAUGCCAUUAACUGCCUUUAAGCACACAUGGAGGAGCUGUGGAGGCUGUCUCCUUGCACAAGGAGCGUGGACUGGCCCCGGCAGCUGUGGACAGAGGAGUGGCCAGACCUAUUCAUUGACAUUCCUGCGACUCACCUGAUUGCAGCACGUGCACGGUGGAAAACAUUCAGACAUGAGAAAUGCCAGCUUAAUUAUCUCCUAAUUGAUACCUCCACGCGGGGACGAAC